UGUUUUGUAAGGGACAAAAAAAUAUAUUUUUUGCCUUAUAUAUCUAGGUAAGUGAACUUUGUUAACAUAAUAAAGUUUCAGUGAUUUUAAUAUAUAAUAGUUAAGUUAUUAUGAAUUUAAGUGCCAUUGACAACUUCUUAUUAAGUUAUUGUGAUUUUUCCAUUGAUGUUGUUCUUCUCUUCAAUUUCUUUCCACAUUAUUGACUCUCCAUGUGAUCGUCUUCGAGAUAUCUUUUCUUGCCUGUAACCCCGAAAUGAUUUCAAUUUUUUUUAGUCUCAUAGGUUUAGUUUUGCAUUCCCGCCCUUCUUUCACUUUCACACGCCCUCCUCGCUUUCACUUUCAUUUUGUCUGCAAUGCACUUUCUAAGUUUUCUUUAAGUUUC
rnacentral:lncRNA from 1 species